GUCCUGCUUUGAGCAGGGGGUUGGACUAGAUGACCUCCUGAGGUCCCUUCCAACCCUGAUGUUUUAUGAUUCUACAUUUUUGAGGGCUCCACGGUGCUUAAAAUUUACUCAAGUGCUAUGUUACAAUUAGUGCCUGUCGGUUUAAAAUUUUCAUACAUCGAUGGAGUCCAAGAAGGUUUUACACACACACAUACGAGAAGAAAUUGCCCCCUAUUGUGCAAGACAGGGAUCGGCAAGUUCACUUGGGGAAGUAAAAUGACCUCAUGUGUGAGAGUUACAGCGUGAAAUAAACCAGUUUCCAUCCUGCUUGGUGACUAAAGCAUCCGCAGAAGAACUCAGCAUUUCACAGGGCGUGGUGAAGUUUUCCCUGUUUAUCCAGGAUGGAAGCUGCGUUCAAGCUACCUGACAUCACUUCCCAUAACGUCCAGGCCGGAGGGCUGUCUGGGCCUGAUAUUGACGCCUGAACCGUGCCGAAGCCAAACUGUGGACUGCUGCUCCCCGAUCCCUGCCAUAGCAUGAACCAGUGCAUCAACAUUUGGAGCAAACCACUGGGCUGAGGCUAUCUUGAGUAUCGAGUUCAGGAGUAAG